rnacentral:pre_miRNA from 1 species
AAAGUACUCCCUCUGUCCCAAAAUUCUUGUCUUAGAUUUGUCUAGAUACGGAUGUAUCAAGUCACAUUUUAGUAUNUCAAGUCACAUUUUAGUAUUAGAUACAUCCGUAUCUAGACAAAUCUAAGACAAGAAAUUUGGGACAGAGGGAGUAGUUG